UAAAGGUUUGGUCCUAGCCUUACUAUCAACUUUAACCUAAAUUACACAUGCAAGUCUCCGCAGCCCCGUGAGGAUGCCCCCAACUUCCCACCCGGAAAUAGGGAGCAGGCAUCAGGCACAAACCUUUGCCCAAGACGCCUUGCUUAGCCACACCCCUAAGGGAAUUCAGCAGUGAUAAACAUUAAGCCAUAAGUGAAAGCUUGACUUAGUCAAGGUUAACAAGGGCCGGUAAAACUCGUGCCAGCCACCGCGGUUAUACGAGGGACCCUAGUUGAUGAACACGGCGUAAAGGGUGGUUAUGGGACCCUCUUUUACUAAAAUUGAAAGCCCCUUCAACUGUUAUACGCAUCCAGGGGUAUUAAUUUCUCUUACGAAGGUAGUUUUAUUAUUGUCAGCCAGAACCCACGAUAGCCAGGACACAAACUGGGAUUAGAUACCCCACUAUGCCUAGCCGUAAACUCAGAUGUUUUUUACAACACUCAUCCGCCAGGGAACUACAAGCACCAGCUUAAAACCCAAAGGACUUGGCGGUGCCUCAGACCCCCCUAGAGGAGCCUGUUCUAGAACCGAUAAUCCCCGUUCAACCUCACCACUCCUUGCCCUUUCCGCCUAUAUACCACCGUCGCCAGCUUACCCUGUGAAGGAAAAGUAAGCGAAAUGAAGACAUUUCAGAACGUCAGGUCGAGGUGUAGCACACGGAGUGGGAAGAAAUGGGCUACAUUGCCUGACCCAGGCCACCCACGAAAAGUCGCCUGAAACGGCCACUUAAAGGUGGAUUUAGCAGUAAGGCGGGAGUAGAGUGCCCCCCUGAAGCCGGCUCUGAGGCGCGCACACACCGCCCGUCACUCUCCCCAACAAUCAAAUUAAUUAUUAGUAAAUAACACCAUAAUAAGGUAUUAGGGGAGGCAAGUCGUAACAUGGUAAGUGUACCGGAAGGUGCACUUGGAAUAAC
rnacentral:ncRNA from 1 species